rnacentral:rRNA from 1 species
GCCCAGACUCCUACGGGAGGCAGCAGUGAGGAAUAUUGGUCAAUGGGCGCGAGCCUGAACCAGCCAAGUCGCGUGAGGGAGGACGGCCCUACGGGUUGUAAACCUCUUUUGCCGGGGAGCAACGGGCGUCACGUGUGGCGCCACUGAGAGUACCCGGAGAAAAAGCAUCGGCUAACUCCGUGCCAGCAGCCGCGGUAAUACGGAGGAUGCGAGCGUUAUCCGGAUUUAUUGGGUUUAAAGGGUGCGCAGGCGGAGGUGCAAGUCAGUGGUCAAAUUGCGGGGCUCAACCCCGUCCUGCCGUUGAAACUGCAUCCCUUGAGUGCGCGAGAAGUAUGCGGAAUGCGUGGUGUAGCGGUGAAAUGCAUAGAUAUCACGAAGAACCCCGAUUGCGAAGGCAGCCUGCCGCAGCGUUACUGACGCUGAAGCUCGAAAGCGCGGGUAUCGAACAGGAUUAGAUACCCCCGUAA